UUAAGACUUCAACAUAUGAAUUUGGGGGAGAACACAAUUCAGCCCAUAAUCUGAAGUCAUACUUCAUCUCAUGCAAUGACCACAUUAUCGGAACUACAGAGAACACCACAAAUAUUUACAUUAACUUUAUUGUUGAUAGUGACAGGACCAGGAUUAGAAUAUGGAUUUCCUGGCACCUUAAUUUCCGUCUGCUGGCUCUUUUAGACUGCCUUUCCAAUGUGCUGAGAUUACAGCAUAAAUGUUAGAUGAUCAGUUUGGGUAGUCGUUUAGGCAUGGGUCUGAAUCCCAGAUCUGCUACCUAUUAACUACUUGACCUUGGCCCAGUUCUUUAACAUCUCUUGGUUUUGUUUCUCUAUGUAAUGAGACAAUAGCAGUACCCUCCUCACUAAGAGAGAUGAGGAUUCAAUGAGAUGAUGGAUGUUGUCGGGGAGGAAAAAUUUUCCUCUGCUGUCUUAGUUCAGUAUCCAAGGGCCUGCAAAUUAAACUAACAAAAGACAGAUUAAAAGGAGAAAAGAAACACAAUUUUUAUUAUUAUUUACAUGUAUAGGAGUUCACAGAAAAGGAGUGAAACUCAAAGAAGCAGUAUGACUCAGGAGCUUAUAUACCGUUUUAACAAAGGAAAGGAGGUUUGGGCUUCAAGGGAUGAUAAAUUGUGAGGAAAUGAUCAGGAAAUAUACGGGGGAACUAAUGGAAGAUACAGGUUAUUUUAAUAGGGUCUGUUCAUGCAGACUCAUCUUGGUGUUGACUAUCUCUGGAGAUUAGAGUUUCUCUUCCCUUCUUGGUGGUGGUGGGGGAAACACCUUCACACAGGGAAAUUUAUGCCCUGCUUUUAGGCAGACAAGGGCAGAGCAGACAGCUCUUCCUGCAUCUGUUGAUUCUUGGUUGCCUUCAACUCAAAGUAAUCCUUACACCAAAGCAACAUAUUCUGAUCCCCUUCAACGGAAAGUGCUGAGCACCAGCUGUGGUCCCACUCCCAUCCACCCUCCCAGAUUGUACACCAGAGAAGAUGCAGAGCCCUUCAUGGACUUCCUACUGCCUUCAGGG